ACAGAAGACCCUAUUCCAUACAUUCAAGCACUUCCGAAUUUGGGACGGUUGCACCUUUUUAAUGCAUAUGAAGGAGGAGGACAAUUAUGCUUUAGUGAAGGGUUCCAUAAACUUAGAAAAUUGGAGUUGUGCAAUUUUCCUCAGUUAAAUGAGAUUGUUAUAGAGAGGGGGGUGAUGCCAGGUCUCCAAGAAUUUUCUAUUCGGAAAUGUAUGCAGUUGAAGAUACUGCCUCAUGGCAUCGAGUAUCUCGAAGAUCUCCAAGGAUUGUUUUUGACAUUUGUUACGAAUGAGCUCAUAGAAUGCAUACGUGGAGAAGGGAGCAAGGAUCACCAAAAGGUUCGGCAUAUUCCGAGCAUACACCAUUGGAGGCAGACACCUGUUGAACUGAAAUACGAACUAUUAUCUCGUUCCACAGAUAGGCUAUUCCAACAUAUCCGCCAGGGAGUAUUGCCCCUUAGCACCUACAGCAUAUCUGCAGGGAACCCCAUCGCACCUACAUCGGGGCCGAAGCUUAGGCGCUAAGGAAUAUGUUUAACCCCAACAAGGGGCUAUGGAGACUCGAACCCAAGCCUUGAGCGAGGGAUUCGAAGGUCUUAUCCACUGAACCAACCCCCGGUUGGUGCUUUCCAGGUUUCUAGCUUGCUAAAGAGUAUGAAGAACUAAACAUAGCGACGAGUUCACUUGAUUAACAAAAAGACAAGUGCCUCAGUCAUCUAUCUUGCAUGCUUGCUUGCUUUCCAUCAAGGAGGACAUGGUGAAUGUUUAGCUUUGUAAUUUCAUGUGUAUGAGAUGAAGAUUUCUUUAGGCAACCAACAACUUUAAUUAGCUUGUGGAUAUAUGCAAAGAGUUUAGACAGAA